CUACGGGUCGCUCCAGUGGGGAAUAUUGGACAAUGGGGGGAACCCUGAUCCAGCAAUACCACGUGUGUGAAGAAGGCCUUAGGGUUGUAAAGCACUUUAGUUAGGGAGGAAGGUUGUUAGGUUAAGAGCUAGACAAUUUGACGUUACCUAAAGAAUAAGCACCGGCUAACUCCGUGCCAGCAGCCGCGGUAAUACGGAGGGUGCGAGCGUUAAUCGGAAUUACUGGGCGUAAAGGGUUCGUAGGUGGUUAGAUAAGUCAGAUGUGAAAGCCCUGGGCUCAACCUGGGAACUGCAUUUGAUACUGUUUAACUAGAGUUUACUAGAGGAUUGGGGAAUUUCCGGUGUAGCGGUGAAAUGCGUAGAGAUCGGAAGGAACAUCAAUGGCGAAGGCAACAAUCUGGGGUUAAACUGACACUGAGGGACGAAAGCGUGGGUAGCAAACAGGAUUAGAUACCCGCGUAGUC
rnacentral:rRNA from 1 species